GACGUAGGGCGCGAGCGUUGUCCGGCUUUAUUGGGCGUAAAGCGCUCGUAGGCGGCUUGUUGCGUCGACUGUGAAAACCCGCGGCUUAACUGCGGGCUUGCAGUUGAUACGGGCAGGCUAGAGUUCGGUAGGGGAGACUGGAAUUCCUGGUGUAGCGGUGAAAUGCGCAGAUAUCAGGAGGAACACCGGUGGCGAAGGCGGGUCUCUGGGCCGAUACUGACGCUGAGGAGCGAAAGCGUGGGGAGCGAACAGG
rnacentral:rRNA from 1 species